rnacentral:tRNA from 1 species
AUCUAAAUAGUUUAAUAAAAAUAUUGAUUUGUGGUAUCAAAGUUAUAGAAUUAUUUUAGAUU